UACGUAGGGUGCGAGCGUUGCCCGGAUUUAUUGGGCGUAAAGGGCGCGUAGGCGGCUCUGCACGUCCGUUGUGAAAUCGCCCGGCUCAACUGGGCGGGGUCAGCGGAUACGGCAGAGCUCGAGCAAGCUAGGGGGCAAUGGAAUUCCCGGUGUAGUGGUGGAAUGCGUAGAUAUCAGGAAGAACACCAAUGGCGAAGGCAGCUCUCGUGGGAACGGUACUGACGCUGAGACGCGAAAGCGUGGGGGAGCGAACAG
rnacentral:rRNA from 1 species